rnacentral:rRNA from 1 species
GACGAACGCUGGCGGCGUGCUUAACACAUGCAAGUCGAACGGAAAGGCCCUGCUUUUGUGGGGUGCUCGAGUGGCGAACGGGUGAGUAACACGUGAGUAACCUGCCCUUGACUUUGGGAUAACUUCAGGAAACUGGGGCUAAUACCGGAUAGGAGCUCCUGCUGCAUGGUGGGGGUUGGAAAGUUUCGGCGGUGGGGGCUGGACGCGCGGCUUAUCAGCUUGUUGGUGGGGUAGUGGCUUACCAAGGCUUUGACGGGUAGCCGGCCUGAGAGGGUGACCGGCCACAUUGGGACUGAGAUACGGCCCAGACUCCUACGGGAGGCAGCAGUGGGGAAUAUUGCACAAUGGGCGGAAGCCUGAUGCAGCAACGCCGCGUGCGGGAUGACGGCCUUCGGGUUGUAAACCGCUUUCGCCUGUGACGAAGCGUGAGUGACGGUAAUGGGUAAAGAAGCACCGGCUAACUACGUG